GAAAGGUUUAUGAAGUGAGAAGUAACAUAAUGAUACCUUCCAAGAGAGUUCGGUUUGGUGAAAACGAAUAAGGUUAGUUUUGUGAAUAGGAUCAUGGAAAUUUUCAGGUAAGCUAAUGUGAGCCUGUUACGUUUAAUCGCGUUAUUGAUUGUGAGUGGGUGUAUUAACAUCAAUUUGAGUGGUACCGCGAUUAAGUCGUCUCUUUU
rnacentral:ncRNA from 1 species